rnacentral:rRNA from 1 species
UACGUAGGGUGCGAGCGUUAAUCGGAAUUACUGGGCGUAAAGCGUGCGCAGGCGGUUCGUUGUGUCGGUGGUGAAAUCCCCGGGCUUAACCUGGGAAUGGCCAUGGAAACUGGCGAACUGGAGUGCGGCAGAGGGGGGUGGAAUUCCGCGUGUAGCAGUGAAAUGCGCAGAUAUCAGGAGGAACACCUAUUGCGAAGGCAGCUCGCUGGGACGUAACUGACGCUGAGACGCGAAAGCGUGGGGAGCAAACAGG